CACCUCAACUGCACUCAUCUCCCACUCCCACUGCCUCCUGUCCGCCAUGGCGAGGCUCAAGCUCAGGCUCACUGUAGCCACCCUCUUCCUCCUUCUCAUAGAGCUCUCCUCCCUCCUUCCCUCCUCCCUCGCCUGCCCCUACUGCAAGUUCCCACCCAAGCACCCCCCUAAGGUCAAGCCCUCCCCCCACCCCCACCCGCACCCCAAACCCAAACCCCAUCUCAAACCCCCGCCGGUAGUCCAGCCUCCACUGCCACCCAUCGUAGGACCCAAACCUCCACCCCAUGUCAUACCUCCAAUGCCUCCAAUCGUGAAGCCUCCUCCCUACAUCAAACCCCCUCCAGUAGUCCGGCCUCCACUGCCACCCAUCGUCAAACGCCCACCCCAUGCCAAGCCGCCCCAUGUCAAGCCACCCCAUCUCAAGCCGCCCCAUGUCAAGCCGCCGAUGCCUCCUAUCGUGAAGCCUCCACCCGUCGUCAAGCCGCCGCCAGUCGUCUUGCCGCCCGUCGUGAAGCCACCACCGGUGGUCAAGCCCCCGCCCGUCGUGAAGCCACCACCCAUGGUCAAGCCGCCGCCCGUCGUGAAGCCACCACCCGUGGUCAAGCCCCCGCCCGUCGUCAAGCCGCCGCCAGUCGUCUUGCCGCCUGUCGUGAAGCCACCACCCAUGGUCAAGCCACCACCCGUGGUCAAGCCGCCACCCGUCGUGAAGCCGCCACCCGUCGUGAAGCCACCACCCGUGGUCAAGCCCCCGCCCGUCGUGAAGCCACCACCCGUGGUCAAGCCCCCGCCCGUCGUGAAGCCACCACCCGUCGUCAUGCCGCCUGUCGUGAAGCCACCACCCGUGGUCAAGCCCCCGCCCGUCGUCACGCCGCCGGUGCCACCUGUCGUGAAGCCGCCACCCGUCGUCACGCCGCCGGUGCCGCCCGUCGUGACGCCACCACCUGUGGUCAGCCGGCCACCGAAAGGCAAGGUGCCGUGCCCACCGCCACCGCCGUCGCCGACGCCGCCGGCGACGAAGACGUGCCCAGUGGACACGCUGAAGCUGGGGGCGUGCGUGGACUUGCUAGGGGGUUUGGUGCACGUUGGCAUCGGGAAGAAGGCCAAGGCGACGUGCUGCCCGCUGCUUGAAGGGCUGGCGGAUCUGGACGCAGCCCUCUGUCUGUGCACGACCAUCAGAGCCAAGCUUCUCAACAUCAACAUCGUGCUGCCGAUUGCGUUGGAGCUGAUGAUUGGGUGUGGGAAGCACCCGCCAUCCGGUUAUCAGUGUCCUGCACCUGCCUAAAUAUAUAUCUACUAUCUGGGGACCGGUUAGUGUGGUCUAGAUUAAAUCUGCACGAGGCCUGUCAAAGUGUUGAGAGAUGGGCAGUGAUGAGAGGUUUGACAGUAGACACAAACUUUGGGGUCUAGCUCGACCAGCUGACUGGUAUUCAUUUAGGCUUGGUUUCAACACCAGGCAUGCAUGUUUCCAGUCAAAUUUGGCCUGACUAAAGCUACGAUUUGUUAUUUGGAUCUUGGAAGAGAAUAAAUCACGGGCUGCUUGGAAAGAAAGCAGGGAGUGGUCAGAGCGUGUUCAGUUUCUUGCUUUAUCUACUUUUUGUGAGAUUAAAUAGUGGAAUGUGCUGUAGACUUGGCUGUGGUGCGGUUGUUCAAAAAAGUGAUGGAGUUCUUUAUGCAAAAGUGACCAACAAGCUCUUCAGUCCUUUUCAUGCAUUAAAA